ensembl:lncRNA
GACCUGGAGGGCUGUCCUGGUCAACUUCUCAUUCUAGAGUGGGAAUACCCUCAUCACAGCUGACUUGGAACCUUGGUGUGAAGAUGGAACAAGGCAGAGAAUGUGAAGUUGCUGCAUCUGAGGAUAAAGGAGAGGAUUAAGAUGUUAGCAACUGUGAAACAGAAGGGAGAAGACAGGAAGGAGACUUUAUUAAGGAUGAAAAAUGGCUGCGAUUUUGAAAACAGUCUUGUUGACAGAAUCAAGGGGGAUCUUCAUUCCCCAACCAGGGAUCGAACCCAUGCCCCCUGCAUUGGAAGUGUGGAAUCUUAACCACUGGGCUACCAGGAAAGUCCUGUAACUGGUGUUUUUAUAAGUAGAGGAAAUUAGGAGACAGACAUAUUCAGAGGGAAGACCAUGUGAAGAAACAGUGAGAAAGCAGCCAUUUAUGUGCCAAGGAGAGUGGCCUCAGAAGAAACCAACACUGCUAACACAUUCAUCUGAGACUCACAGACUCCAGAAUUGUGACCAAAAAAGUGAUUUCUUAUUUAAGUCACCCAGUCUGCGGUACUCUAUUAUGGCAGCCUUGGCAAGGCAACACUGAUUAUCUGCAACUGCUUUUCCCAGAGUACUUACUUAUCUGGACACCUCUACAGUCUGCAAAUCCAGCCUUGGUAUCUGGCAGAGGGACACUUCUGUGGGACAGAUAAACUAGUAGAAUAAGUCUUGGUGGUUAUUAUUAGGCCAAAGUGACAAAGUCUAAGACUCAAGGAGCCUCAAACUACUACCAGUCUACUUGUUAGUAGACAUGCCAAGUCUGAAGCUUCAAAGGUGGGGAAUCAAAAUGCCAAGACACAAAUCUCCAGAGAGUGGAGUAAAAUUUUCUGCCAUUAAUGAGUUGAAGAAAAGUUAGGCUCUUGAUUGAAAUUCCUGAUAGGAAGAAAUCAGACUGAGGC